AUUACAUUGUUCUGGGUAUUGUCAAGUUUGCUUUGACAGUCUUGCUAAAAUUUCAUUAUGGACUGUUAUUAUUUGAAAUGUAAAAAAACAAUGUUGGAUUAAUUAAUGCUCUUAAAAAUUCAACUCAGUUUCAAAUGUAAAUCUGAAAGAAAAUGGUUUGCUACACUAAUAAGUAAUAACAUUGGAUAUUUAGAUUUUCAUACCUACUCAUAGGAUGUAGCUCAAAGAAAAAUGUUAAUUUUUUUAAAAGAUAACUGUCACACAAUCCAUGAUUUAUGUAAAAAAUGUUUUUUGAGAAAUGUAGGUACAGUUAAGGUUUUUUUACAAAUACGUGUAGAAUGUAGAUUAUAGCCAUUAAUUUUAAUACAGGAUGAUUCAGAUAAGA